GUCGUCGGACGCACCGACUGCUGCUUCGGUUGGAAGUUGAACGUGUACUCAAAGUUUUCAGCUUCUCGCUUCUUGCGGCCGAGUCUCGGGGUCCCGCAUCCAGCAAAUAUCUGUGGAUGAGAAAAUUAUAUAUAAGUUGGGAUAGGGUAAAACCCUGAAUCCAUUAAGAAGAACUGAUCCUAUGACAUAUCGCACCUCCACCAAGCUCUUUACCACUGAGCAACAUCCCGCACAUUCCAAUUUGAAAAGAUCAACAUAAGAAAAUGGAAGAUUUAAAAAAAUAGGGAAACCGUCUGGCAGGCCGCGGUGUAAAAAGCCAGUUACUGAUAACAAGUGAGACGUGUGUUGUAGCUAAAUUAAACAGCCUGGUUGUUUACACACUUCUAAAUAUGUGAACCCAAUUACUGAGUGUCAGGACACAAGAAGAAUGGGUUAGUUUAACACUUUUAAAACCUACAACUGUCCCAGGCAGCAGGCUGCUAUAUAUUAAACAACAAUGGGAGAGAGUUCAUUUACGAACUGUGAUAUAUAGCAGAUUCGUCAUGAGUGUAAUACGGAAAAUAUCAACCGAGUCUAUGUUAAUUAGAAUACGUUGAGGCUUUGCCAAGACAAAUACUGAUUAAUUUAACUAGAUGAGGUUGAUAUUUUACACAUUAAAAAACUUGAGUGGCGAAUUCCAUUUAUUCUAUAAUACUUCUAAAAUAACAUUUUAAUUUGAUAUUUAGUAAAUCAGAGUUCUAAAGUUGCCUCCAUUCUUAUUAUGACAUUAUCGUCAUUUGCAUAAAUAUAGUUUGACGUCAUGUAUUUUAAGUAAAUCUUGUUAAAAUAUUAAGUUCAGAAUUGAUAGCAAAAAAAAUAUCAACCAGAUUAAUAAUGGGAUAUACAUGUAUUAAAUGGUUUAUGACAUGAAUAUUAUGGUAAGUUAUAGGAUAAAUUCAUUUAUAUGUCAUUUUGAAAAACAUUUGAUUUUAUUGCAACAUGAUACUCUUUUCAAUGAUCAUAGAUUGUGUUUUGAUGGAAACUCUAUUGUUAUACUGCUGAGAUGUAUUAAUCACAAUUUAUCUUCAUUGUUAACUCCAAAUUGUGAAGAUUGGCGUAUAUCGUGCUUGGGAAAUAAACUCUUCAAUUA